GAAGGAGGGAGGAGGGGGAGAGGGAGGGAGGAUGUGGACGGGUGAGUGGAGAAGAUAAGGGAGAGAGAAAGAGUGAGGGGAAAGUGGAGGCCUCAACCAAUGGGAGAUCUCAAUUUUGGAGGUUUGGAUCGCUGAUGUGGCACGUUGUGUUUCUUUUAUAUAUUUAUAAUAAUUUUUUGAAGUACUAAAUGAUUUCAAAUGAAAAACUUGUCAGCUACUAAAUUUUAGAUCUCGUCGAGCUCUACAAAUUUGAUAUAAAGUUUACCUUUAUCCGAAAUCGAAUGAAAAAGUUAUGAUUUUUUUGCGCGAAAUAAUUUCUAGGAGCGGGUCAUGCCAUUACCCGCGCCUAGAAAU
rnacentral:lncRNA from 1 species